CUUACUGCCCCCGUUUAAUUUAGUCACUCAACUUGUUGCCCUAAAAUACACAGUCACAAAUCCAGCGAAGCAAGCCCAGGCAAACACAGCAUCACCGAACAUGGAACCCUAACCCUCCCUCAUCUCAUUCGUGAAGAGCCCUUAAGAGUCCUCUCUCUCUCUCCCCCCAUCUCUGUAACAGGAUUGAAGCGUAGCCGUUGAGCCCUAACCCUCAUUCAAGCCCUCUCUCUUUCCCCCUCUGUAACAGCAAAGCACUUCUCCACGUCUAACCGUCGUUGGUGCACCCUCUCUGUAACCCAGCGAAGCACUUCUCCACUUCUGCCAUUCAUUUAUUGUUGUUCUAGUAAUAUGGACCAUGUGGAAGCAAGUGGCAGUACGUGUGGUGCCUACAGGCUUUUUGUUGGAUUUCACUAGUUAGCUAACUAGCUUGUGCCAAGGUGUGUGAGUUUUCUGGCAGCUGGAGGGUCGUGAAAGCAAGGAGGUUAUGGGAUUAUGUGACAAUGGACGGGCUUACAUGUUACAUGCUUACGGAAGGCUAGGAAAAUAACAUCAUAUUAAAGUCAUUAUGACUUGUUUCCUCACUAUUAAUUCCUUGGAGCUCCCCUACUGCAUUAUGACUGUUAUUUCAACCACAAUUUACCUCAUGAGGCUGAAUGGAUAAAUCAGUACAAAGGAAGAGUGUUCAGUUUAAACGACAAGCCUGUGGUGCAUAAAAUUUGGCUGCCGAAUGAGGAAUGCCCCAGAUUGGCAAUGUCUAGAGCCUUUGGGGACUACUUUAUUAAGGAUUUUGGACUUAUAUCCGUCCCUGAAGUGAGGUGUUGUCACAUAUAACCAGCAGAGACCAAUUUGUUGUGUUGCGAACCGAUGAGUCUUCCCGCUAGGGGCUGGGAAGAGAUAACAACGGGAGCGUCGAUUGCAUGGCUAUCAAGUACAUCAAAUUUGAAUUGGACACAAAAAUGUCGCGAUUCCCUCUCUCCGAUCAGAAACUUCGAAGGCAAAAUUUGUGCGAAAAA